AUUUUAAACUGGUUUGGGAAAACCAAAUAUAUUAUAUAUUUUGCUUUGUUCAAAAUAAGGUUUUCUAAUAAAUUAUGUUUUUAUCAGAUAUGACAGAAUCUUUUUUAAAAUCUCUUCAAUAUGCUUUUAUUGCUUUUGAGAGGUUUUGUUACUUUGAGUAAAAUUAAGUGUUCAUAACAGACGGGUAGUCAUGAUUGAGUUCAUUGUGU
rnacentral:rRNA from 1 species